rnacentral:tRNA from 1 species
GGUAGCACGACAGACUCUGACUCUGUUUGUCUGGGUUCGAAUCCUAGUCGGGCAACCA